rnacentral:rRNA from 1 species
CGGGUGAGUGACGCGUGGAUAACCUGCCUCACACUGGGGGAUAACAGUUAGAAAUGGCUGCUAAUACCGCAUAAGCGCACAGUACCGCAUGGUACGGUGUGAAAAACCCAGGUGGUGUGAGAUGGAUCCGCGUCUGAUUAGCCAGUUGGCGGGGUAACGGCCCACCAAAGCGACGAUCAGUAGCCGACCUGAGAGGGUGACCGGCCACAUUGGGACUGAGACACGGCCCAA